rnacentral:lncRNA from 1 species
ACGAAAGAAGGCAAAGGGUGCAAUGGAGGGGGGUGUAGUACAAGAGAAGAAGAAGCAGAGAAGUAGGGGUAAUUUCAUCUUUUCAUAUAUCCUAUGGGAGGUUUUAAAUUUAUGGGGCUGCAGAUGCAGAAGCCCGAGUUCAAUCCCGAAAGUAAACCUGGGAUUAGCCCAGUAUAAUCUCACUUUCCACAUGGGCAGCAACUGUGGAACUAUGAGAAAAUUAUUCUGUAGAAUGCAAACCUUUUCUCUUUUGAAAUGGUUAAAUCCAAGGCAUCAGAAUGAAAAGCAUGCGCUUGC